rnacentral:rRNA from 1 species
UGGGGAAUAUUGCACAAUGGGGGGAACCCUGAUGCAGCGACGCCGCGUGAGUGAAGAAGUCAUUCGUGAUGUAAAGCUCUAUCAGCAGGGAAGAAAAUGACGGUACCUGACUAAGAAGCCCCGGCUAACUACGUGCC